UGCAAAUUUUGUAAAUAGACUGUUUAUUUUUUAUUUUUGAAAAUCGUCAAGCGAAAAUUGAAGGAAAGUAGCAAUUUAUGAAAUUUAGCAACAAGGCUGCCAAAGAAGAUGAGGUUAAGCCUGCAUUUCAUUAUACUCUGACAACAAAGAAAGCUUGUAUUGACCCCCUACUUUUGAGGAACUGAACUCAUUGAAGGAGACUGAAAGCUUGUUUCAUUCCAGCCUGUUUCACAUGCAGAUAAAUGAACUGCUUGCUGAGGUUUAAGCUAGAGCAGACAUUGCACCUUUUGAAUGAAUUGUUAACAUCAAUCAUUGCCGGAUGGAGAACAACAGGAUAUCAGUGAUCUGAGUUGGAUGGCAAAGAAUGGUAGUAUUCCACUUUUUUCCUUGCCUGGUCCAAUAAAAGGAAAGUUCAUCUUUAAGAAACUGGAAUCUGUAAAUGUUAUUGGCGGUUACCAACUUGGAACUUUGUGUAUACAAUAUAUCAAAAUCAACCUGGCAGUCCAGUUACCCAAGGGCUUAAUUCACAGUAAAGACCAUCUUUAUCUACGCUAUGACUACAAAAGAGAUAUAUAUUUGGCAACACCUUCUUCAUUUAUCAAAAAGAGCAAGCUCUUCAAGAGUGUUGCAUUUGCCUGUCACAACGGAGAGUAUAAUUGAAACCUAUUCUUUUAUUGAGACCAAAAGGAGUUUGGGCCUGAAAAAUCUCAACGAACCGGGCAAAAGGAGACUUUGAAGAAGUUAAAGGAGUUUUAUAUAUUUAUGUUGAAAGAAGACAUCGACAUCGUGUUGAAAUUGAGGUAACAGUUGAAGAUACUCCCCAACCGAGAAUAUGGGAUGCGAUUGAAAACUUUGACACAUCACUUUUAGACAAAAAACCUAAUCUGGAUGUAAAACGAGAACAAUAAUGAUCCAAUUUUAUUAACUGAAUGUAGACGGAACAUUACACUUUAAUAGCGUAU